CUACCAUGCAAGUCGAACGGGAACUGUCCGGAGCUUGCUUCGGAGGGUUUCAGUGGCGGACGGGUGAGUAACGCGUGAGGAACCUGCCUUUCAGAGGGGGAUAACGUCCGGAAACGGACGCUAAUACCGCAUGACAUCCCGGGAUCACAUGGUUCUGGGAUCAAAGGAGCAAUCCGCUGGAAGAUGGACUCGCGUCCGAUUAGCCGGUUGGUGAGGUAACGGCCCACCAAAGCUGCGAUCGGUAGCCGGACUGAGAGGCUGAACGGCCACAUUGGGACUGAGACACGGCCCAGACUCCUACGGGAGGCAGCAGUGGGGGAUCUUGCACAAUGGAGGGAACUCUGAUGCAGCGACGCCGCGUGAGGGAAGACGGUUUUCGGAUUGUAAACCUCUGUCCCCGGUGACGAUAAUGACGGUAGCCGAGGAGGAAGCUCCGGCUAACUACGUGCCAGCAGCCGCGGUAAUACGUAGGGAGCGAGCGUUGUCCGGAUUUACUGGGUGUAAAGGGUGCGUAGGCGGCUGAACAAGUCAGGUGUGAAAACCAUCGGCUCAACUGAUGGAUUGCACUUGAAACUGUGCAGCUUGAGUGAAGCAGAGGCAGGCGGAAUUCCCGGUGUAGCGGUGAAAUGCGUAGAGAUCGGGAGGAACACCAGUGGCGAAGGCGGCCUGCUGGGCUUUAACUGACGCUGAGGCACGAAAGCAUGGGUAGCAAACAGGAUUAGAUACCCUGGUAGUCCAUG
rnacentral:rRNA from 1 species